GGAUUUGAAGGUGACCUGGUGGCAGCCUCUAUUCUCCACUGACAACCAAGGUUUAUUCAGUUAGUCUGACCAUCUCUAUUGGCUUCUCCUUCAUCUUUUGCCAUUCCAGAAAGGUCCCCCCUGAAGUUGCUAUCAGUGCAAAAGCGUGGUCUUCUCCCACCUUAACUGGUUUGGCUCAGUGGAUAGAGCAUUGGCCCAUGUACUGAAGAGGUCCCGGUUCAAUUCCGGUCAAGGGCAUGUACCUUGGUUGCGGGCUUGAUCCCUGGCCCUCUUUGGGACAUGUGUGGGAGGCAACCAGUCGAUAUAUCUAUCUCACAUGGAUGUUUCUCUCUCUGUGUCUCUUC
rnacentral:snRNA from 1 species